CUGACAGAAUCCCCAUGGAGGCAGAAGCAUCUGUGAUAUGGAUGUCUCCUCUGCAGUUCACAUGGUAGAAAUUUAAACCCAGUCUCAGGUGGCAGUGUGUUUUGGAGGUUUGGAGGUUACCUCACUCCAGAUGAUUGUUACAGCUCCAUCCAUUUCCCUGCUUUUUUUAAAAUUUUGAGACAUUGUCUUGAGUAUCAAAGAGUGAUCUAUAACUGUGUACCCAAGGAUGACUUUGAACUUCUGAACGUCCUGCCUCCACCUCCUAAAUGUGCUACCAAACCCAUGCAGUGCUGGGAAUAAAAUCUAGGAUUUCACA